GAUGGGAUUAGCUAGUAGGUGGGGUAUUGCUCACCUAGGCGACCAUCCCUAGCUUGUUCUGAGAGGAUGACCAGCCACACUGGAACUGAGACACGGUCCAGACUCCUACCGGAGGCAGCAGUAGGGAAUCUUCCGCAAUGGGCGAAAGCCUGACGGAGCAAUGCCGCGUGAGUGAUGAAGGUUUUCGGAUCGUAAAGCUCUGUUGCCAGGGAAGAACGCUUAGGAGAGUAACUGCUCCUGAGGUGACGGUACCUGAGAAGAAAGCCCCGGCUAACUACGUGCCAGCAGCCGCGGUAAUACGUAGGUGGCAAGCGUUGUCCGGAUUUACUGGGCGUAAAGGGAGCGUAGGCGGAUACUUAAGUGGGAUGUGAAAUACCUGGGCUUAACUUGGGUGCUGCAUUCCAAACUGGGUGUCUAGAGUGUUGGAGAGGAAAGUGGAAUUCCUAGUGUAGCGGUGAAAUGCGUAGAGAUUAGGAAGAACACCAGUGGCGAAGGCGACUUUCUGGACAAUAACUGACGCUGAGGCUCGAAAGCGUGGGGAGCAAACAGGAUUAGAUACCCUGGUAGUCCACGCCGUAAACGAUGGGUACUAGGUGUAGGGGGUAUCGACUCCCCCUGGCCGCCGUUAACACAAUAAGUACCCCGCCUGGGGAGUACG
rnacentral:rRNA from 1 species